CUGAGAUUGGAUUGUCAAUGAGUUAGUCGCAGUCAAAGAUAACAAAGAAUUGUUUUUUGUUUUUUUUAAACUGUUAUCACAUUAAAAGUUACAUUUUAACUAUACCACAUCAUUGUAUUCUAUACUGUGUGUAUCUCACCUCCUGUCUGGUUGUUAAGUUGCAUUAUUGUCUUCAUUUCCUUUUUGAAUGCAGUCUCAGCUUCUUUUUCGAUCCGUGUAAUUAUCUCCCCGUAUAUAGGCUCCAGUUUCUUUGCCCACGGGGCCACAAUAACAGAUCGGCCGAUGUCACUGCUGUAUUUUAAAAUCUGUAUCCAAUCCACAAAACCCACCGAUAUAUAUUCAGGCAUCCCAAUGGAGACUACUGUGUCAUAAAACUGGAGAGAGUGAC